UUUAGACAGCUUUGCUUUCAAACACAAUAACGGAUUUUCAGACCGUAACAAUGAUUUAGGUUCACUUGUAAAAAUAGUCUGUUUAUUAGGUUGUGCCCUUAUUUAUUGUUUUAUCGUGUUAUUUGUAAGUUUUUAGAGCAUGGGAAAGGGAAAAGCUUAUAAAUAAGUUGGACUGACCCAUCGUGAAAUUGCUCUGAAAAAAGAGCAGACUGGCCGUUCUCUUAACGUUGUGGGCAAUUUGUUCCGAUUAGGCGGCGAAUACGGAACGAAGGCUCCGGGAGAAUCCCAAUUCCCUCGGCACGCGAAAAAACAAAUAUUGGAGCUGCAGCAGCAAAUUCAACGAAGGGAAGUCGGCAGAUGCAGAAAGAAUUUGCGCCAAAUGUGUCACAUGAAACGGUAUGGAGGACUUUAAAAGAGUCCCUCAAUCUUCGUUAUGAGAAAAUGAAGUCGACUGCAUCGCUAAGCCAAAAUCAUCAGCUUCUAAGAGCCCAAUUUGCCGAUCAGCAUCAAACAUGGACAGUGCAAUGACACUCGAUUGUGUGGUCCGAUAAGAUUAAAUUGAAUUUGGAUGGUUCAGACGGCUUAGCAACUUACUGGGAUGAUUUACUCGCUGAUUCACGCAACUUUUUGAAGCGAAAUGUUGGUGGAGAUUUGGUACUGAUCUGGGCGGCUUUCUCAGCGGCCGGGAAGACAAGUUUAGGAUUUUUGAACGGGAGAAUUAACUCGGUAAGAUAACAAGGGCUCUCAGACCAUGUGUUGCCGUAUUUGGCGGCUUGAAAUCGAUCAAUUGUGUUUUGGCAUGGCCGGCACCGUCAUCAGAUUGAAAUCCUAUCGAGAACUUGUGGGGUCAAUUGGUGCGUGACGUUUAUGCUGAUUGUCCACAGUAUAACACCACCGACGAGCUAAAAGAGGCCAUUCAAGAAGCAGAGAAUCGGAUCAUAGUUGAGCAACUUGUGAAUUUUGUUUCGGUUGUUUAAAGUCUAAUAAAUUUACGAUUUCUACAA